CAAGCUGAGAUCUGCUCUCAAUAGAUCAUCUCCAUUUCUAAAUACUCUUUCAUUUCAAACAUGCUGGCUUUUCAAUGAAACAAAAUCAGCUAUUGACAAAGCAGUGGAAUCUGCACCAGUUGUUUUGUUCAUAAAAGACACUCAGAAACACCACAGUGUGGAUUUUCAAGAACAAAUAUACAGAUUCUUGAACUGUGAAGAGUGGAUCUCAGAAAGUUCACUGCAUUCAAUGUUUUGAAGAACAGAGCUGUGGCAAGAUGGGUUUCUCUUGAAGCCUUUCUCUCUAACUCAAACAAAUGUUGUCAAUAGUUACAUUUGUGUAACAGGCGUAUUUCGAUUAGCAAUCUAGUACUAUUCUAAAUACAGAUUACAAAUUGAUUAAGAAAAGUAAGAGA
rnacentral:sRNA from 1 species